AUUGAACGCUGGCGGCAGGCCUAACACAUGCAAGUCGAACGGUAACAGGAAGCAGCUUGCUGCUUUGCUGACGAGUGGCGGACGGGUGAGUAAUGUCUGGGAAACUGCCUGAUGGAGGGGGAUAACUACUGGAAACGGUAGCUAAUACCGCAUAACGUCGCAAGACCAAAGAGGGGGACCUUCGGGCCUCUUGCCAUCGGAUGUGCCCAGAUGGGAUUAGCUAGUAGGUGGGGUAACGGCUCACCUAGGCGACGAUCCCUAGCUGGUCUGAGAGGAUGACCAGCCACACUGGAACUGAGACACGGUCCAGACUCCUACGGGAGGCAGCAGUGGGGAAUAUUGCACGAUGGGCGCAAGCCUGAUGCAGCCAUGCCGCGUGUAUGAAGAAGGCCUUCGGGUUGUAAAGUACUUUCAGCGGGGAGGAAGGGAGUAAAGUUAAUACCUUGGCUCAUUGACGUUACCCGCAGAAGAAGCACCGGCUAACUCCGUG
rnacentral:rRNA from 1 species